AUUGAACGCUGGCGGCACGCCUAACACAUGCAAGUCGAGCGGUAACAUGCUUAGUAGCAAUACUAAGUGAUGACGAGCGGCGGACGGGUGAGGAACACGUAGGAACCUGCCCAAAAGUGGGGGAUAACUAAGGGAAACUUUAGCUAAUACCGCAUAAUUCUCUGAGGAGAAAAGUUGCCCGUAAGGGUAGCGCUUUUGGAGGGGCCUGCGUCCGAUUAGUUAGUUGGUGAGGUAAUGGCUCACCAAGACUGUGAUCGGUAACUGGUCUGAGAGGACGAGCAGUCACACUGGGACUGAGACACGGCCCAGACUCCUACGGGAGGCAGCAGUGGGGAAUCUUGGACAAUGGGGGCAACCCUGAUCCAGCGAUGCCGCGUGGGUGAAGAAGGCCUUCGGGUUGUAAAGCCCUUUAGGCUGGGAAGAAGAGUGUGGGAUGAAUAAUCCUGUACUUUGACGGUACCAGCAGAAUAAGCACCGGCAAACUCUGUGCCAGCAGCCGCCGUAA
rnacentral:rRNA from 1 species